GGGGGUAUAGCUCAGUUGGGAGAGCGCUUGCAUGGCAUGCAAGAGGUCAUCGGUUCGAUCCCGGUUACCUCCACCA
rnacentral:tRNA from 2 species